rnacentral:tRNA from 1 species
UCGGGAGUCGUCCAACGGCAGGACAUCUCACUUUGGCUGAGAGAAUGGGGGUUCGAGUCCUCCCUCCCGAGCCA